CCACGACUACGGUUUGGGGCACAUACCCGGCAAUGUCCCGACCGUUGAGGGGCUUCAGCGCAAGCUGAAGCCCCUUUCUUUUG
rnacentral:sRNA from 22 species